GAUGGACGCUGGCGGCGUGCCUAAUACAUGCAAGUCGAGCGAAUGAUGAGGAGCUUGCUCCUCUGAUUUAGCGGCGGACGGGUGAGUAACACGUGGGUAAUCUGCCUGUAAGACGGGGAUAACUCCGGGAAACCGGGGCUAAUACCGGAUAACAAGAGAAGAAGCAUUUCUUCUUUUUGAAAGUCGGUUUUGGCUGACACUUACAGAUGAGCCCGCGGCGCAUUAGCUAGUUGGUGAGGUAACGGCUCACCAAGGCGACGAUGCGUAGCCGACCUGAGAGGGUGAUCGGCCACACUGGGACUGAGACACGGCCCAGACUCCUACGGGAGGCAGCAGUAGGGAAUCUUCGGCAAUGGGCGAAAGCCUGACCGAGCAACGCCGCGUGAGCGAUGAAGGCCUUCGGGUCGUAAAGCUCUGUUGUUAGAGAAGAACAAGUACGAGAGUAACUGCUCGUACCUUGACGGUACCUAACCAGAAAGCCACGGCUAACUACGUGCCAGCCGCCGCCGUAAGAC
rnacentral:rRNA from 1 species